AGUGAACGCUGGCGGCGUGCCUAAUACAUGCAAGUCGAACGAUGAAGUCCUAGCUUGCUAGGAUGGAUUAGUGGCGCACGGGUGAGUAAUAUAUAGUUAAUCUGCCCUACACAGAGGAACAACAGUUGGAAACGACUGCUAAUACCUCAUACUCCUAUUUGACAUAAGUUAAAUAGGGAAAGUCUUUUCGGUGUAGGAUGAGACUAUAUCGUAUCAGCUAGUUGGUAAGGUAAUGGCUUACCAAGGCUAUGACGCGUAACUGGUCUGAGAGGAUGAUCAGUCACAUUGGAACUGGGACACGGUCCAAACUCCUACGGGAGGGAGCAGUAAGGAAUAUUGCGCAAUGGGGGAAACCCUGACGCAGCAACGCCGCGUGGAGGAUGACACUUUUCGGAGCGUAAACUCCUUUUAUCAGGAAAGAAUAAUGACGGUACCUGAUGAAUAAGCACCGGCUAACUCCGUG
rnacentral:rRNA from 1 species